UUAUCUAGAAAACCUCCAGCUCUGAUGUGAUAGUUUUAGGCACCACCUGUCACCCAUUCGGCCUCUACUCCUGCCCCCUUGAAGGAUUCUUUUCCCUAGCCCCAGCCUUUCCCGGACACUGCCCACCUCUGGAUCCCUUACUGUACUCUCUUUAGGGAGCCCUUCCUGUGCCCGGCUUCCUAUGACCUCCCUGGCUCAGCCCCCUAGAGGGCUCAACUUCAUCCCGCUGCCCCUUCCCUGGUCCUUUCCAGUUCCCAGAGGACCUGAGGGGCACUGUCUGGGCUCUUCUGGUAGGGUCAGUGUGACAGCUACCCUCAGCCCCAGUAUGUGGUUUUCUGGUUCCUAAUCCCAGGCCCUAGUCCCAAAUUUCCCAGGCUCAGCUUCAAGCCUCCCUCUUUAGCCCUCAAUCAACAGACCUCAUUCCCUAUCCCCUACAUGAGGCCUCUAGCCCCAAGUCUCCUGGUUCCCAGCUCCAGGCUCCUGCACCUUAAUCUGCAGCUCUAAGCCCUAGUCCCACUGCCCACCCGUGGCAUCCAGCCUUCCUCUCCAGAGCAGUUUCUGAGAUUCUGGGUUCUAGGGGGUUAAUAGGCAGCCUCUUUCCUCUCUCCAGCUGCAGCUGCAACCUACUUGGUUUUUGGGCCUGAGCCAGGGGCCUGGGCCAGAGGAGAGCAAUUGAGCACCCUGGCUGAGUGAGGGGUGAAUCUCAGGAGUUGAGGACAACUAUUUAGAGUAACACUGCCUCCAACCCCCAAGCCUGGUUCAAGGAAAGACUGAAGUGGGAGGAGGAGGAGCAAAGACACAUAACGUUUUUCUCUAUCACCAAAAGAAAACCUUUAAGGGAGCAGAGAAAAUGGCAAGAAAGAGAUAGAGUCUCACUAUGUUGCUCAGGCUGGUCUCAAACUCCUGGGCUCAAGCGAUCCUCCCACCUCAACCUCCCGGAGUGCUGGGAUUAUGGUCUCACUCUAUCACCCAGGCUGGAGUGCAGUGGCACGAUCACAACUCACUGAAGCCUUGACCUCCUGAGCUCAAGCCAUCCUGCCACCUCAUCCUCCACGUAGCUGUGUUACUGGAAAGGGGUCCUGAUCCAGACUCCAAAAGAGCGUUCUUGGACCUUACAUAAGAAAGAAUUUCAGGAAAGGGUGAUUUCCUCUUUUAAAGUGGCAUGAACCCCACAGCUAUAGCACAAGUGAGCAGGAUCAUCAGAAGCCACUCCAUUCUUCUGGAAGCUGCAGAGAAAGGGAAACUGGAAACCUGAUAUACCAGCAAAAAGGGUAAGAAAUUCUUACUGGCCAAGUUUCUGGUCUCUCUCUGUCUUUCUCUGUCUUGGUAAAUAGUAAACUAUCUGUCUCAUCUGCAAGGGUUUGAUUAAUAAAAAAAGGAUUUAUGAGACUAAUCUUAGGCUGUAGCAUAUCUGGUAUAGUUUGUGCUAAGAAUUUGUCUUUCUGUGUUCUGUAAUGGAGAGAGGGGUAUCAACAGGAUAGAACGUGGGUUUAGGACCUCUAUAAGCCUGCUUUUCAAGCCAGCUCAGCAGGCUGGUCAGUUACAAACUUUGCUAUGGGUCCCUGAAGCCAAUACUGUAUGAAAUUUCUAUGUCUUGUUUUGUGUCCUUAAGAGCUCAACCUUGUGACCAUGCAGGGAUUCUUUCUUUUUGUUUCCACCAUCCAGAGGACAGAAAUUUUGGGGUUCAUGUCAUAGUCCUACAAUUUUUUCCUGACCAGUUAAAGCUUUGCAAGCUUGAAAUUGGCUUCUGAGGCCGGGUACGUGGUGGCUUACGCCUGUAAUCCCAGCACUUUUGGAGGCCGAGGCGGGCAGAUCAUAAGGUCAGGAGAUCAAGACCAUCCUGGCUAACACGGUGAAACCCUGUCUCUACUAAAAAUAGAAAAAAUUAGCCGGGUGUGGUGGCGGGCACCUGUAGUCCCAGCUACUCGGGAGGCUGAGGCAGGAGAAUGGCAUGAACCUGGGAGGUGGAGCUUGCAGUGAGC